UUCUGUAGGUGAACCUGCGGAGGGAUCAUUA
rnacentral:rRNA from 2 species